GGCCGCAGUAAACUGACUGUGCUAAGGUAGCAAAAUCAUUAGUCUUUUUAUUGAAGACUUGUAUAAAAGAUGUGACAAAGAAAAUCCUGUCUUAAUAAAAGCAGUGUAAUUUUAUAUUAAAGUAAAAAAGCUUUAAAAUUUUAAUAGGACGAUAAGACCCUAAAAUCUACUAACUAAUAGGAUAAAAGCUUAAGGAAGAAAAAUAAAAAGAAAGAGAAAGUUAGUUUACUGGGGCGGUAAUUAUAAUUAUAAACUAUAAGCUUAUUAACAUUUUGUAUGGUUAAUUUAUAUCAACCUUUAUGAAUAAAAUAAGAUACUUUAGGGAUAACAGCAUAAUAUAUUUUAAGAGUCCUUAUCACCAAAUAUGUUUAUGACCUCGAUGUUGAAUUGAGUUUUCUUUUCCUAGAAGAUUAGGUUAAUAGUAAGUCUGUUCGACUUUUAAUAUCUCACAUGAUUUGAGUUCAAACCGGC
rnacentral:rRNA from 1 species